rnacentral:rRNA from 1 species
AGCAUAUCAAUAAGCGGAGGAAAAGAAACUAACAAGGAUUCCCCUAGUAACUGCGAGUGAAGCGGGAAAAGCUCAAAUUUAAAAUCUGGCAGUCUCUGGCUGUCCGAGUUGUAAUCUAGAGAAGUAAUGCCCGUACUGGACCGUGUAUAAGUCUCCUGGGAUGGGGCGUCAUAGAGGGUGAGAAUCCCGUCUUUGACACGGACUACCAGUGCAUUGUGGUAUGCUCUCAAAGAGUCGAGUUGUUUGGGAAUGCAGCUCAAAAUGGGUGGUAAAUUCCAUCUAAAGCUAAAUAUUGGCGAGAGACCGAUAGCGAACAAGUACCGUGAGGGAAAGAUGAAAAGAACUUUGGAAAGAGAGUUAAACAGUACGUGAAAUUGCUGAAAGGGAAACGCUUGAAGUCAGUCGCGUUGGCCGGGAAUCAGCCUUGCUUUUGCUUGGUGUACUUUCUGGUUGACGGGUCAGCAUCAAUUUUGACCGCUGGAAAAAGACCUGGGGAAUGUGGCAGCUUCGGCUGUGUUAUAGCCCCUAGUCGCAUACAGUGGUUGGGAUUGAGGAACUCAGCACGCCGCAAGGCCGGGUUUCGACCACGUUCGUGCUUAGGAUGCUGGCAUAAUGGCUUUAAGCGACCCGUCUUGAAACACGGACCAAGGAGUCUAACAUGCCUGCGAGUAUUUGGGUGGAAAACCCAAGUGCGUAAUGAAAGUGAAAGUUGAGAUCCCUGUCGUGGGGAGCAUCGACGCCCGGACCAGAACUUUUGGGACGGAUCCGCGGUGGAGCAUGUAUGUUGGGACCCGAAAGAUGGUGAACUAUGCCUGAAUAGGGUGAAGCCAGAGGAAACUCUGGUGGAGGCUCGUAGCGAUUCUGACGUGCAAAUCGAUCGUCAAAUUUGGGUAUAGGGGCGAAAGACU